rnacentral:rRNA from 1 species
AGAGUUUGAUCCUGGCUCAGAGCGAACGCUGGCGGCGUACUUAACACAUGCAAGUCGAACGAGGAUCAUCCGUGUAGCAAUACAUUGGUGGUCCUAGUGGCGCACGGGUGAGUAACACGUGGGUGACCUGCCCUAGAGCUCGGGAUACCCCCUCGAAAGGGGGGCUAAUACCGGAUACGUUCCUUGGUCGAAAGAUCGGGGAGGAAAGGUGGCGCAAGCUGCCGCUCUUGGAGGGGCUCGCGGCCUAUCAGCUAGUUGGCGGGGUAACGGCCCACCAAGGCUAUGACGGGUAGCUGGUCUGAGAGGACGACCAGCCACACGGGGACUGAGACACGGCCCCGACUCCUACGGGAGGCAGCAGUGGGGAAUUUUCCGCAAUGGGCGAAAGCCUGACGAAGUGACGCCGCGUGUGGGACGAAGGCCUUCGGGUCGUAAACCACUGUCAGUGGGAAAGAUGGGUGUCGGGGCUAAUACCUCCGGCAUCUGACGGUACCUGCAGAGGAAGCCCCGGCCAACUCUGUGCCAGCCGCCGCGGUAAUAC